CACGCCAUUUGCGGGGCCGUGGGUGCAGUUGGCCCAAUCCAAUCGCCCGCACGCCGCAACCCUUCCUCCCUCCUCGAUCUCUCUCCCUCAACCGCCACAAACCCUAGCCCCCUUUCCUACCAUCCCGCGGUCGCUGCCCCUGCUCCAUCCGACCUCCAUCCUCUCCCUCCAUCCUCUCCCAUGUCGCCGCCCCUCUUCUCCCGCUCACCUUGGCCACCUCCUCUCCUCCGCCGUGUCAUCGGCCCCCUCCCUCCUCUCAGUUCCGUGCCAGCCGUCGCCCAAACCCUAGCCCCAUUCCCCUUGAUCCCCACAGUUACUGCAUCCACAACCACCCGCUCAGCGAGGCCGAAGACCGGGCAACGGACGCCUGACGGGGUGGAGGAGAGGCCAGCGAUAGGGAAAAGCAGCAUCUUCAUGGAUGAGAUCCUGACGGCUGAAGAUGGUGCGCAUGGGAGGAGCUUGGAAGAUGUCAAGUGGUGGCGCCGCUGGGGAUGAGGGGAGCAGCAGCCGCAGCAGGCGGUGAUGCUAGUGAAGCGGUGGUCCAUGGUGCCUUCGUCGUUGUCGUCCUCGGCAGAAGGUGAGGCCACGAUGGAUCUCAACAUUCUUUGUGAUAUUCGUCAUCCAUGGAAGAUGCAGAAGAAAAACUCAUGCAGAUCGAACGAAGAAGAGAAGAGGAAGGAUCUUGAGGAAGAGGAAAAAAAACAAGGCAAUGGGACUAUUGACUGGGUACAAGAGCUUCUUCAGAAAACCCACGCUGCUUUUCUAAAUCGCAAUUUUUUUCAAGGUACACAUGAAUCUACGAUCCAGAUUCUAGCUACACCCUUUACUACAACAAUCUCGGGCUUUACUGAAAAGUGCGCUGCUUAUAUAGUUGAUAUCUUUAAUUCAUAUGGUCGUCCGCUGGAUGAUCACUGGUCUUCGGUUCAUAUGGUCACUGGCUGGAAGCUUGCUGUUAUGUUUGCUUCAUAUGGUGGUCGACUGGAAGCUCGCGGUCUGAAUGAUCUCAUUGUCUAUGGCCGGCAAUACACACUUUUCAUUACUACCAGCCAGGGGUUCACGGGCCAUCAUGAUGAUAUACUUGGUUCUUUAAAGAAGAAUGGUAAGAACUAACGAGGGUUGUCUUGUCCAAGAGCUCUGCCGCGAUGGCAUCGCCACUCAGUGAUGCCUCAGCAGGAAGGCUAAUCGCAGGGAGGUGCGACAUGGGUGGCCUAAAAAGCUAAUUUUGUGCCCUCUCUCUUUGCCUCUUGUUUCCUCCAGCACCUUGAUUUUGAUGGCUAAUAUAUUGACUUUCUAAACAUCUUUAAUUUAUAAGGAAUGUAGUAGUUAUAUGCUUUUCAUUUAUGAUAGAGAGAUUGAACCUAGGUGUCCUGCUUGCUGCUUUGUAAUAUAAGCAUGAUAUUUUUCUGCCGACUUUGUGGACAUGCUAACAAUGAAAAUUUUAUCUGUAAAACAUGGUGAUCCCUGUAGUGCUAUUUCUGAAGCUUCGCUGUGCUUGCUUUCCCCCAACAAGCAGUAAUCCAAUCACGGGUGCAUCAGGUACUAUAUCAUGUGAGAAAAUCGAACUGCUCAUUCAUAAGACAGGAUUUCCGCUCACAUUUAUCAUGCUUCGACACUCACAAAAUACAUACUUGGGCAAUUGCUCUGUUUUAUAUUGCGAGCCUUAAUUUGUGGUGGUAGUAGCAUUGUUUGCAUUUAUUGAAAACCAGCAGUAAAUCACCAUUAUGCCUUAGUUAUAUGAUGUGCCAUGUGCAUGCUUUACAGUUACCUUGCAAGUGUUGUGAUGUUGCAUAGAUAUUUGUUUAUCUAUAUGAAUGUUGGACCCUGCGUGAUUGAUCUUCUUGUGUUCCUAUGUGAGAACUAGCUCUCCUUUAGUAGUGUAGUACUUCUAUACUAAACUGAACCGGGAAUGGUUUGAUUGUGCUCUGUAGGACAGUGUGAUUUCUUUUCAUAGAAUGUUGUCAUCUUUAUCUUGCUGAAGUACAGAACUAUUGCACCGACGACCACAAUGGGAUGGAUCAAGCAGCCAAGACUCAGAGUGUGGUCGGGCAACGCCAUGGGGCAGAUCUGUGCGGCGCAAGGGGCAGCAGAUGCGAAACUGAAGCUUCCCAGCUAACUUCGGAGCAGUCAAUUGAGCAGAUGGACACGACGUGAACCCAGAAGGGGGAGGCUCCUGAAUAAUUCAUAGGACAAAAGCUAAAUAAUUGGAAGACUCAUUUUGUACACACAGGAUAGUACAGACAACACAAUGCCCAAUCAUUUUUGAAUUAGGUUCAGAUAGAGUGAGGAUUGGUGCUGCCGUCCCUGGUAGGAGCCCAAUGACCUAAUCGAACUACUGUCAUGGAGAGGGCAAUACGUGGAUUUACUUCAGAUAUUGGAGACAACGCCAUUGUGCCGAAGCUCUGAAGCAUACGAUUUUUACAAUCUGUAUUUAUGGGAGAAAGGAUUUGGCAUUCGAUAUGCUAAAAGCCGUCUGAAUGUCGAGAGGACGUGGAAAUCUAUUAUGGAUAAUACUGGUCUUGCCAGCGUUAGUGCCCUACUCUGAUAAGGCUGCUGCAGUCUGAACCAUUCAUUGUCUGGCACGCGUGCGCAGACGAUACACUGACGAUCGCACAAGCACAUCAGCGUGUACAACAGGUAUUUGAUGAAGAAUUUGAGGCAGAACAAUGUGAACCUUGCUAAAGUGCACAACAUUAGGCAGUUUCUUUGGGUCGACGGAGAAUGUGCCUUUCACAAAAAGAGCUUCAAGGAGCUUGUGUGGCAAAAUAAGCCGCGAGCAAGCGGCUGAUGAUGUUAGUUAAACGAUGGAGGUGAUUGUGGAGCUUGGUUCAAAGGAUCCUCACUUCACAUAUCAUGUGCAGGCAGAUAAGGAGGGGAGGAUAAACGCACUCAUGUGGGUAAAUGGGGACAGUAGUCUGGUGCAAAAAAGACUAGCUUAUUCUUAAAUUUUCUGUCUCUAUACUGAAUUUGGUGUGUACCGAUAAAUCAUGUAGCGUGUGAGAUCCAUCAUGCAGUUUAACUGCUAAAAUUAUGUUAUGCAUAUGCCCUGAAGCUGA